ensembl:snoRNA SNORD58 Small nucleolar RNA SNORD58
UUGCAAUGAUGACUUCUUAGGACACCUUUGGAUUACCUGUGAAAAAAAACUCAUAUCAACUGAGCUAU